GCCCGAGUGGUGAAACGGUAGACACACAGGACUUAAAAUCCUGAGGACGAAUGCGUCCGUGCCGGUUCAAGUCCGGCCUCGGGCACCA
rnacentral:tRNA from 1 species